rnacentral:ncRNA from 1 species
GUCGGCGUGAUCACCGUGCAGCCGCAAAGCGUGCCGGUGAUGAGCGAGUUGCCGGGUCGCCUGGAAGCCGUGCGCACCGCGCAGGUCCGCGCCCGCGUCGCCGGCAUCCUGCAAAAGCGCUUGUUCACCGAAGGCGCCGAUGUGAAGGCCGGCCAGCCCCUGUUCCAGAUCGA